AUUGAACGCUGGCGGAAUGCUUUACACAUGCAAGUCGAACGGCAGCACGGACUUCGGUCUGGUGGCGAGUGGCGAACGGGUGAGUAAUGUAUCGGAACGUGCCCAGGCGUGGGGGAUAACGUAGUGAAAAUUACGCUAAUACCGCAUACGAUCUAUGGAUGAAAGCGGGGGAUCGCAAGACCUCGCGCGAUUGGAGCGGCCGAUAUCAGAGUAAGUAGUUGGUGGGGUAAAGGCCCACCAAGCCAACGAUCUGUAGCUGGUUUGAGAGGACGACCAGCCACACUUGAACUGAGACACGGUCCAGACUCCUACGGGAGGCAGCAGUGGGGAAUUUUUGACAAUGGGCGAAAGCCUGAUCCAGCCAUUCCGCGUGCAGGAUGAAGGCCCUCGGGUUGUAAACUGAUUUUGUACAGAACGAAAAGGUUUCUACUAAUACUAGGAGCUCAUGACGGUACUGUAAGAAUAAGCACCGGCUAACUACGUGCCAGCCGCCGCGGUAA
rnacentral:rRNA from 1 species